UACGUAGGUCCCGAGCGUUAUCCGGAUUUAUUGGGUUUAAAGGGUGCGUAGGCGGACUGUCAAGUCAGCGGUAAAAUUGAGAGGCUCAACCUCUUCCCGCCGUUGAAACUGGUGGUCUUGAGUGGAUGAAAAGUACGCGGAAUGCGUGGUGUAGCGGUGAAAUGCAUAGAUAUCACGCAGAACUCCGAUUGCGAAGGCAGCGUACCGGCAUCCAACUGACGCUGAGGCACGAAAGCGUGGGGAUCAAACAGG
rnacentral:rRNA from 1 species